ensembl:snRNA U2 U2 spliceosomal RNA
AGCACUUCUCGGCCUUUCAGCUAAGAUCAAGUGUAGCAUCUGUUAAUCAGUUUAAUAUCUCAUAUCUAAAGAGGACUACAUAUUAAAUAGAUUUUAGGACAGGGUGGUGGAAGAGGAGCUUGCUCCGUCCACUCCACGCAUCGACCUGGUAUUGCAGUACCUCUGGGAACGGUGCACCUCCU